rnacentral:rRNA from 1 species
UACGUAGGGUGCAAGCGUUGUCCGGAAUUAUUGGGCGUAAAGAGCUUGUAGGCGGUUUGUCGCGUCUGCUGUGAAAUUUCGGGGCUCAACCCCGAACUUGCAGUGGGUACGGGCAGACUAGAGUGUGGUAGGGGAGACUGGAAUUCCUGGUGUAGCGGUGAAAUGCGCAGAUAUCAGGAGGAACACCGAUGGCGAAGGCAGGUCUCUGGGCCACUACUGACGCUGAGACGCGACGGCGUGGGGAGCAAACCGG